rnacentral:rRNA from 1 species
GACGAACGCUGGCGGCGUGCUUAACACAUGCAAGUCGAACGGAAAGGCCCUGCUUUUGUGGGGUGCUCGAGUGGCGAACGGGUGAGUAACACGUGAGUACCCUGCCCUUGAUUUUGGGAUAACUUCAGGAAACUGGGGAUAAUACGGGAUAGGAGCUCCUGCUGGAUGGUGGGGGUUGGAUAGUUUCGGCGUGUGGGGAUGGACUCGCGGCUUAUCAGCUUGUUGGUGGGGUAGUGGCUUACCAAGGCUUUGACGGGUAGCCGGCCAGAGGGGGGGACCGGCCACUUGGGGACUGAGAUACGGCCCAGACUCCAACGGGGGGCAGCGGGGGGGAAUAUUGCACAGUGGGCGGAAGCCGGUGGAGGCAACGCCGCGUGCGGGAGGACGGCCUUCGGGUUGAAAACCGCUUUCGCCUGUGACGAAGCGUGAGUGACGGUAAUGAGAAAAGAAGCACCGGCUAACUACGUG